CUUCAGAUCAGAAGAUGAGUAAUCGUGUGGAGGAAGAGGAGGACAGAGCAGAGUCUCUAGUCUCCGGCUGUCUGUCUAUGAAGAGUGAUCGGUCCAAAAGUCUUAUUCUGAACUUGCUUCAGUAAUGAACCUGGACCCUCAGACACAAAAGUUCAGUACAGACAGAGAGCAGAGUCUCCAGUAUCCAGCUGUCUGUCUAUGAAGAGUGAUUGGUCCAAAGAGCAUCCGACUUCAGUAAUGAACCUGGACCCUCAGACACAAAGAGGAAGCUGGAACAACCUGAACCCAGCUGUGUGUCCAUGAAGAGUGACCGGUCUAAAGAUCUUCCUGUAUUCUUCAAAGAUGGACGCCACUCUGUUGAUCAGAGGUGAGGAUUUAAACUGAUUUCAAACUGGAGUCACCAUGGUGACGUCACACACUCCAGUCUCCUCACCUUCAUCUUCACUACCUUCACUUAAGGAUUGUGUAAAUGAGCAAAGUCUUGAAAUAAAGCCGGUGACAGCUCUGGUCCAGUCACUCCAUAUCCUCACUAUCUCUGCAUUGACCCUUUAUGGUUGAAUGUGAGC